GACGGAGGGGGCAAGCGUUGUCCGGACUCACUGGGCGUAAAGGGUGCGUAGGCGGUCUUGUGCGUCGGCGCUGAAAUCACACGGCUCAACCGUGUGGCGCGUGCCGAUACGAUGAGACUUGAGGCUCUGAGAGGGUGGCGGAACUCCUGGUGUAGUGGUGAAAUGCGUAGAGAUCAGGAAGAACACCCGUGGCGCAAGCGGCCACCUGGCAGAGUUCUGACGCUGAGGCACGAAAGCGUGGGGAGCGAACCGG
rnacentral:rRNA from 1 species